rnacentral:rRNA from 1 species
UACGAAGGGUGCAAGCGUUACUCGGAAUUACUGGGCGUAAAGCGUGCGUAGGUGGUUUGUUAAGUCUGAUGUGAAAGCCCUGGGCUCAACCUGGGAAUUGCAUCUCAUACUGGCGCGCUAGAGUAUGGCAGAGGCAAGUGGAAUUGGCAGUGUAGCAGUGAAAUGCGUUGAUAUCGGGAGGAACACCCAUGGCGAAGGCAGCAAGCUGGGCGACACCUGACGCUGAGGCGCGAAAGCGUGGGUAGCAAACAGG